CUCAGGAUGAACGCUGGCGGCGUGCCUAAUACAUGCAAGUCGAGCGAACAGAUAAGGAGCUUGCUCCUUUGACGUUAGCGGCGGACGGGUGAGUAACACGUGGGUAACCUACCUAUAAGACUGGAAUAACUCCGGGAAACCGGGGCUAAUGCCGGAUAACAUGUUGAACCGCAUGGUUCUACAGUGAAAGACGGUCUUGCUGUCACUUAUAGAUGGACCCGCGCCGUAUUAGCUAGUUGGUGGGGUAACGGCCUACCAAGGCGACGAUACGUAGCCGACCUGAGAGGGUGAUCGGCCACACUGGAACUGAGACACGGUCCAGACUCCUACGGGAGGCAGCAGUAGGGAAUCUUCCGCAAUGGGCGAAAGCCUGACGGAGCAACGCCGCGUGAGUGAUGAAGGUCUUCGGAUCGUAAAGCUCUGUUGUUAGGGAAGAACAAAUGUGUAAGUAACUGUGCACAUCUUGACGGUACCUAACCAGAAAGCCACGGCUAACUACGUGCCAGCAGCCGCGGUAAUACGUAGGUGGCAAGCGUUAUCCGGAAUUAUUGGGCGUAAAGCGCGCGUAGGCGGUUUUUUAAGUCUGAUGUGAAAGCCCACGGCUCAACCGUGGAGGGUCAUUGGAAACUGGAAAACUUGAGUGCAGAAGAGGAAAGUGGAAUUCCAUGUGUAGCGGUGAAAUGCGCAGAGAUAUGGAGGAACACCAGUGGCGAAGGCGGCUUUCUGGUCUGCAACUGACGCUGAUGUGCGAAAGCGUGGGGAUCAAACAGG
rnacentral:rRNA from 1 species